GCGCAAAACAAAGGGUUUCUUUAAAGAAGAGGACUUCUCCUGCUGAAUGCUCCACAAGCUCUCUAAGGAUCCUUUCAGAAUUCUAAUGCCGGGCCUGGCCCUUAUUUGACUGUGUAUUUAAUAACUGCUGUUGCUGUUGAGAGUUGGUACAAUUUUCUCAAAGGAAUUUUCCAUCUCUGAAAGGAUCCAUUCAGAAUUCUAAAG